rnacentral:lncRNA from 1 species
CUUGCUUUCAGAAAUGGAGACUGCUGGUUUUCUCAGCUGUGUGGGGGCAUUGUCCACAGAAGUUUAGUUGCCCUGAAAAUCCUUUUGAGCACUGAAGACCUCUGGGUGUGCCCCUCACUUUGGAAGAAAUGGCCCUGGCUGUCCGUAGGAUACGUUACUCUCCUGGCAUCGCCAUUGGUCCAGGCUGAAGGAACAAGAAAGGAUGAAAACUCUAUCAGCAACAUCUGGCCGAAGGCAGUCUGAUCUGAGAUAUUAGAAUGCAGCACUGCAUCACACCAGUCUCUACCCUCAGCCACGGGAGAUUAUUGAUUUUCUUCAAAGAAUAAUUUCUUAAUGAAAAGUAAAAUAAAAUAUGGAUGAAUCAGCC